GAAAUGCGAUAAGUAAUGUGAAUUGCAGAAUUCAGUGAAUCAUCGAAUCUUUGAACGCACCUUGCGCUCCUUGGUAUUCCGAGGAGCAUGCCUGUUUGAGUGUCAUGGUAUUCUCAAUUCAUCCGUGUUUUUAUUUAUUAAGCAUGGCUUGAAUUGGACUUGGAGGCUUUUUUGCUGGCGGCUUGGAUUUUGAUUCAAGAAGCUGGCUCCUCUGAAAUGCAUUAGCUUGAAUAUUACCGAGCAUAUCUCAGCGUGAUAAUUGUCUACGUUGUGUGUGCUCUGGUGUUUAAAUUGUUCUAGCUUCAAACCGUCUCUUUGUUGAGACAAUUAUAAUAUAAUACUAUUAUGAACAUCUGACCUCAAAUCAGGUAGGACUACCCGCUGAACUUAA
rnacentral:misc_RNA from 2 species